AGAAAGAAAGAAAGAAAGAAAGAAAAAAGAAAGGAAGAAAGGAAGGAAGGAAGAGGAAGGAAGGAAGGAAGGAAGGAAGGAAGGAAGGAAGGAAGGAAGGAAGGAAGGAAGGAAGGAAGGAAGGAGGCAAGGAAGGAAGGAAGGAAGGAAGGAAGGAAGGAGGCAAGGAAGGAAGGAAGGAAGGAAGGAAGGAAGGAAGCAAGGAAGGAAAGGAGGGAGGGAGAGAGUGAGAGUGUGAGACAGAUAGAGAAAGAGAGAGAAAGAAAGUAAGAUAGAAAGAAAGAAAGAAAGAAAGAAAGAAAGAAAGUAAAGAAAGAAAGAAAUAAAGACACACCCAGAGAGAAAGAGAGAGAGAGA
rnacentral:lncRNA from 1 species